rnacentral:misc_RNA from 1 species
GUCCUCUAUUGUUGUUGGCUGCAUUGGAAAGUUUCACAUCACACAAUCAUUGUAAUUGACAUCUUUUUAUAUAGUUUUAAGCACUUUGGUUGUCAAAUUGGAUGAUUGUUUGAUAUGUUGUAGAUGACUCAGAGAUGUCUGACGUGCCUAUGGUGUCAAAUAUGAGGCAGGAUCUUACACAGUGGCAAGAAAAGCAUGGCCCCCG